GUGCUCACUUCAGCAGCACAGAUACAGAAGUUGGAACAGUACAGAGGAGGUUAGCGUGGCCCUGCACACGGAUGCCACACAAAUGCGUAAAGUGUUCCAUAUUUUG